UUCCGGUUGAUCCCGCCGGACCUGACUGCUAUCGGAUUGAUACUAAGCCAUGCGAGUCAUUGUAGCAAUACAAGGCAGACGGCUCAGUAACACGUAGUCAAUCUACCCUAUUGACGGGGAUAACCUCGGGAAACUGAGAAUAAUACCCGAUAGGCCAUUAUGCCUGGAAUGGUUUAUGGCUGAAAUGAUUUAUCGCAAUAGGAUGGGACUGCGGCCUAUCAGUUUGUUGGUGAGGUAAUGGCCCACCAAGACUAUUACAGGUACGGGCUCUGAGAGGAGAAGCCCGGAGAUGGGUACUGAGACACGGACCCAGGCCCUAUGGGGCGCAGCAGGCGAGAAAACUUUGCAAUGUGCGAAAGCACGACAAGGUUAAUCCGAGUGUUUCCUGCUAAAGGAAUCUUUUGUCAGUCCUAAAAACACUGAUGAAUAAGGGGUGGGCAAGUUCUGGUGUCAGCCGCCGCGGUAAAACCAGCACCUCAAGUGGUCAGGAGGAUUAUUGGGCCUAAAGCAUCCGUAGCCGGCCGCACAAGUCUUCGGUUAAAUUCAUAUGCUCAACAUAUGGGCUGCCGGAGAUACUGUGCAGCUAGGGAGUGGGAGAGGUGGACGGUACUCGAUAGGAAGGGGUAAAAUCCUUUGAUCUAUUGAUGACCACCUGUGGCGAAGGCGGUCCACUAGAACACGUCCGACGGUGAGGGAUGAAAGCUGGGGGAGCAAACCGGAUUAGAUACCCGGGUAGUCCCAGCUGUAAACAAUGCAAACUCAGUGAUGCAUUGGCUUGUGGCCAGUGCAGUGCCGCAGGAAGCCGUUAAGUUUGCCGCCUGGGAAGUACGUACGCAAGUAUGAAACUUAAAGGAAUUGGCGGGGGAGCACCACAAGGGUGAAGCCUGCGGUUCAUUGGAGUCAACGCCGGGA
rnacentral:rRNA from 1 species